GAUCCUGGCUCGGGACGAACGCUGGCGGCGUGCCUAAUACAUGCAAGUAGAACGCUGAGGGAGGAGCUUGCUUCUCCGGAUGAGUUGCGAACGGGUGAGUAACGCGUAGGUAACCUGCCUGGUAGCGGGGGAUAACUAUUGGAAACGAUAGCUAAUACCGCAUAAGAGUAGAUGUUGCAUGACAUUUGCUUAAAAGGUGCAAUUGCAUCACUACCAGAUGGACCUGCGUUGUA
rnacentral:rRNA from 1 species